UGAAAACAGAGCUGUUGUUUAGCUUACAUAUUUGACCUAAAAAAACAUUAGAUGUAAGAAGGAUUCCAACAAUUUUAAAAACCAAAAAAAUAGAUUCAAUAAUUUCAUGCAUUUCAAGAAGAUAAUCAGAACAACGAUAGAUUCGUAUAAAUAAAAUAAAAAUAGAUGGAAUUUUAUCAAACACUAGGAAACAUGAAUUUUUUCUCUUGUGCAAAGUAAUAUGAAACAAUAUGUAAGAAUGUUCACUGUUGAUCAAUAACAAUAGUUCUAUUGGUAAAUAAUUACAUGAAUGGGAUGUGGAGUAUGGACCCAUGAGAAUGAGAGUGUCUAUGACUCAUCUCCACCACAUGUUAGAUAGGAUCUUUCAAGUUCUCAAGUCAAGAUUAUAUUAUAUUCUUUUUUUUUUGAAAAAGUAUUAUUUGAUUCUUAAUUCUUUGAUUUGGUCUUUACGAAAUGUCAUAAUUUUCGGAGACACUAUAUAUUUUUAAAUUGACUCGGUCUAUCGAAUCACAUAUUCAGCCAAAAGACAAUGAAUAAUAAAACCUCACUUCAAAUUUGAUCAUUAAGUAAUAAUAAUCUUGUGAGACACUAAGACACGUAACACAUCGUAUUAUCUUAUCUUAUCAUAUCAUAUACCAAGUGCAGAAGAAGAGAAGAGGACUUACUUAUCUAAGGUAGUUAACAGGUGGUUCCAAACUCCAAAGUGCCAACAAGUAUCCCAAUGACGCUCCAAGACUUCAUUCUAUCUGGCUUAAGUCGAAAGAAAAGCGUUUGGGCCCUGGGCCGAGUUUAGAAAGGAACAACAGAGGGGUACAAGGCCUUAAGGGCCUGUUUAGCUAAAACAUCGGCUUCUCUGUUCUGAGAACGAGGGAUGAACCGGAAAAGGAUAGACGCAAACUUAGAUGAGAGACGAUCGAUGUCUUGAAGGACACCGUAGAUCUCCUUGAUCUGGCUGUUGCUGUUGAUUGCUCUGAUGAGCGUUAGGCAAUCUGAGAAGAUAGUAGCUGUGUGGAUACCGGAUUGGAGCAUAACUUCCAUUCCGUGUCUGAGGGCAAGCGUUUCGGCCAUAAGAGGGGAGGAGACUGAAUCGACGAUCUGGGCCCCAGACUGAGGUCGGAGCUUUGCUAGUAUGUUAGGUAAAUAGUGUUGCAAUGAUCCGAUGAACCUCUGGAUCAAACAAGACAACAAUUGUUCCGAAUUGUUUAACAACAAAUCUUCAUGGAAUGGAGACAAUAUUUAGACACAUAGCGAGGGAAGAAAGUGGCUGCGUACAUCCUAGCGAACGCUACUUGUCUAAAUGUGGGGACAUUCUCAUCAAGAUGUAGAAACAAAUACAUGGUAAAAAGAAAAUGUCCAGUUCAGAGACAUGUAAUAUUGUAUUUUUUUGAAGACACAUGAUAUUCUUAGGUUUCUUCGUUCUCUGCCCUAACAUUAGUUUGGUGUUUCAUGUCUGUGGUUUAUUUUUUGAAUCUCCUGAUAUUUCUUUAUUUUGUGAAAACAGAGUAGGUUUUGUUUACACAUUUGAAAAAAAUAAUCUACCUAUAAGAUUUAUGCU